rnacentral:rRNA from 1 species
GUCCACGCCGUAAAACGAUGGAUACUAGCUGUUGGGAGCAAUCUCAGUGGCUAAGCGAAAGUGAUAAGUAUCCCACCGUGGGGAGUACGUUCGCAAGAAUAGAAACUACAAAGGAAUUGGACGGGGGGCCCCCGCACAAGCGGUGGAGCAUGUGGUUUAAUUCGAUGAUACGCGAGGAACCUUACCAAGGCUUAAAUGUAGUUUGACCGGUUUGGAAACAGAUCUUUCGCAAGACAAAUUACAAGGUGCUGCAUGGUUGUCGU